rnacentral:rRNA from 1 species
ACUCCUACGGGAGGCAGCAGUGGGGAAUAUUGCACAAUGGACGCAAGUCUGAUGCAGCCAUACCGCGUGUGUGAAGAAGGCCCGAGGGUUGUAAAGCACUUUCAGUAGGGAGGAAGAGUAUAAGGUUAAUACCCUUAUAUUUUGACGUUACCUACAGAAGAAGCACCGGCUAACUCUGUGCCAGCAGCCGCGGUAAUACAGAGGGUGCAAGCGUUAUUCGGAAUUACUGGGCGUAAAGCGCGCGUAGGCGGAUGAUUAAGUCAGAUGUGAAAGCCCAGGGCUCAACCUUGGAACUGCAUUUGAAACUGGUUAACUAGAGUUUUGUAGAGGGUGGUAGAAUUUCAGGUGUAGCGGUGAAAUGCGUAGAGAUCUGAAGGAAUACCAGCGGCGAAGGCGGCCACCUGGACAAAGACUGACGCUGAGGCGCGAAGGCGUGGGGAGCAAACGGGAUUAGAUACCCCGGUAGUCCACGCAGUAAACGAUGUCUAUUAGAAGUUUGUGGCUAUAUGCCGUGGGUUUCAAAGCUAACGCAUUAAAUAGACCGCCUGGGGAGUACGGCCGCAAGGUUAAAACUCAAAUGAAUUGACGGGGGCCCGCACAAGCGGUGGAGCAUGUGGUUUAAUUCGAUGCAACGCGAAGAACCUUACCAUCCCUUGACAUCCAGAGAAUCGCCUAGAGAUAGAUGAGUGCCUUCGGGAGCUCUGAGACAGGUGCUGCAUGGCUGUCGUCAGCUCGUGUUGUGAAAUGUUGGGUUAAGUCCCGCAACGAGCGCAACCCUUAUCCUUAGUUGCCAGCACGUAAUGGUGGGAACUCUAGGGAGACUGCCGGUGAUAAACCGGAGGAAGGUGGGGACGACGUCAAGUCAUCAUGGCCCUUACGGGAUGGGCUACACACGUGCUACAAUGGCAAAUACAAAGGGCAGCUAACCUGCGAAGGUAUGCGAAUCUCAUAAAGUUUGUCGUA